rnacentral:rRNA from 1 species
AGUGAACGCUGGCGGUAGGCCUAACACACGCAAGUCGAACGGCAGCACAGUAAGAUCUUGCUCUUACGGGUGGCGAGUGGCGGACGUGUGAGGAAUACAUCGUAAUCUACUUUUUCGUGGGGGUUAACGUAGGUAAACUUACUCUAAUACCGCAUACGACCUACGGUGGAAAGCAGUGGAUCUUCUCACCUGGCGCGGUUGAAUGAGCCGAUGUCGGAUUAGCUAGUUGGCGGGCUAAAUGCCCACCAAGUCGACGAUCCGUAGCUGGUCUGAGAGGAUGGUAGGCCACACUGGAAGUGAGACACGGACAAGGCUACUAAGGGAGGGCGCAGUGGGGAAUAUUGGACAAAGGGCGCAAGCAUGAUACAGCCAUACCGAGUGGGAGAAGAAGGCGUUCGGGUUGUAAAGCCGUUUUGUUGGGAAAGAACAGCAGCAGGUUAAUACCAAGCUGUUGUGACGGUAACCAAAGAAUAAGCACCGGCUAACUACGUG